UCAGAGUUGAAGAAGCUCCUCGGAAGAGAGGAGCGAAAGAGCCGAGCCGAGGCUGCCGGCUACAUCCAAGCUGCCAUGAUAGUCACACCUCUGUGAAGGAUAGCAUCAUCACAGAUGGCUGAGGCUGAACUUCACAAGGAGAGGCUCCAAGCCCUCGCGGAGAAAAGGAAAAGACAGUCAGAAAUAGAGGUCAAAAGGAGACAGCUGGACGAUCUGGUGCUGCAGCUUCAACAUCUCAAGUCUAAAGCCAUGAGAGAGCGCUGGCUCCUACAAGGCACGACCCCUGGAACGAACGACGAAGACGAUGG